rnacentral:rRNA from 1 species
UACGAAGGUCCCAAGCGUUAUCCGGAUUUAUUGGGUUUAAAGGGUGCGUAGGCGGGUUAUUAAGUCAGUGGUGAAAGCUCCCGGCUCAACCGGGAAAUUGCCAUUGAUACUGAUGAUCUUGAGUGUGGUUGAGGUGGGCGGAAUGUGUCAUGUAGCGGUGAAAUGCUUAGAUAUGACACAGAACACCGAUUGCGAAGGCAGCUCACUAAGCCACAACUGACGCUGAUGCACGAAAGCGUGGGGAGCAAACAGG